GGUUUCCGUAGGUGAACCUGCGGAAGGAUCAUUGACGAGCCCCGAAACGACCGUGAAUUUGUCGUAGUGCUUGCGAAGCGUGAAGUGCCCUCUCGUGAAGUUCCCUGGGACUGCGCGGGUGCUUCCGCAAUCAACUCCCCCAAGGCGCUUUCGCGCCAAGGAAAGUUAAAAGUGACCGGGGUUGAUGGAUCCGUGAUCCUUCGAACCUUUGGUGGCAUUGUGCGGUGAGCGCAUGGUAGGAACAUAAAAGAGUAAGAAACGACUCUCGGCAACGGAUAUCUUGGUUCUCGCAUCGAUGAAGAACGUAGCGAAAUGCGAUACUUGGUGUGAAUUGCAGAAUCCCGUGAACCAUCGAGUCUUUGAACGCAAGUUGCGCCUGAGGCGAAUCCGCCAAGGGCACGUCUGCCUGGGCGUCACGCAUCGCGUCGCUCUCGUCCAAUCCCCUUCCUCUUCGUCAUCCAUUUUGGCGGUUUGGUUGGGUGAUUUUUGGGGAGCGGAAGUUGGCCUCCCGUGCUCUUUGUCGCUCGGUUGGCCUAAAAUCGUCGCGUUCCGAUGGCAUCGCGCGGCACGAGUAAUUGUGGUUGCCUUUGUCGACUUCGCAUGCUGUGGCGUCGAUGUCCAUUUGCGAUAGGCGAUCUGAAAUAAAUCCCUUGUGGUGAGGCGGGGCCGUUUGUGUCACCAAGACCAUCGACCGCGACCCCAGGUCAGGCGGGACUACCCGCUGAGUUUAAGC
rnacentral:rRNA from 1 species